rnacentral:lncRNA from 1 species
UUCUUAUAAGACCUGUGUGAAACAUUGCGCUUGAACCUACACAUGGUUCAACACAUGCUUGGGGUGGUUGUAUACUCAGUCAGCCACUUUCUGGGAUGCAGUCACUGUCAUGAGAUUGCCAUCAAUUUUUUACUUCCAACAUAAGUUGUGUGCCCCACAGGUGAAAAGCAGUUGCAAACCUCUUGAGUGCAGCAAACCAGU